rnacentral:tRNA from 1 species
AGAAGUUUAGGAUAGCCAGUCCAAGAGCCUUCAAAGCCCUAAGCAAACUCAUAAAGUUUAACUUCUG